rnacentral:rRNA from 1 species
UGGGGAAUCUUGCACAAUGGGGGCAACCCUGAUGCAGCGACGCCGCGUGAGCGAUGAAGCCCUUCGGGGCGUAAAGCUCUUUCGACCGGAACGAUAAUGACGGUACCGGGAGAAGAAGCUGCGGCUAACUACGUGCCAGCAGCCGCGGUAAUACGUAGGCAGCAAGCGUUGUUCGGAGUUACUGGGCGUAAAGAGUGCGUAGGCGGUUUUCUAAGUUCGGUGUGAAAUCUCCCGGCUUAACUGGGAGGGUGCGCCGAAGACUGGGAAGCUGGAGUGUGGGAAAGUCAGGCAGAAUUCCUGGUGUAGCGGUGAAAUGCGUAGAUAUCAGGAGGAACACCUGCGGUGUAGACGGCUUGCUAGACCAUAACUGACGCUGAGGCACGAAAGCGUGGGUAGCAAACA